UUUUUAUGGUUGAAUGUCUGCAGUUUAAGGAGUGGAGAGAAUGUAGUGUUGUAGGUUGUCAGUUACUGGUCUGUGUGUUUCUCUUGGUUUGCUCUGAUCUGAGACGUGUCGGGACAAGCCGAGCUGUCACCAAGUGAUGACUGGCAGCAAACCGAUAAGUUAUUAACAACUCAGAGCAUGAUUGAAGGUUUACUUCAAGAAGGAUCCAUUAAAAACAACUUUCUCACAGUUGGUUUUAUGGUUCCAAUUAGGUCAUGACAUAAUGCACGCCAAAGAAUGAAGAUCCAACAUAUUUGGUCUGUUUUGGAAACAGGUGCGGUAAAGUUUUGGACGCUUUCCACAGAGCGAGGACUCAUCAGAAGUUCCAGGUAAAGAUAAAGGGUUUUCUGGAGUAUAAAUAGUCUAAGGAUAACACUUGGAUGCAAAGGAGGUAUCAUUUUUGAAAAGAGAGGACACCUGCUGCACCUGGCUGUGACACAAAUCUGCUCAGCAGUUUGACAGCUGAGACACUAUCUAACUGCUGAAUCAUCAGGAUACCUUAUGCAUGCUGGAAAAGCAUCUACUUUUGGCACAAGCUGAUUUUGUGUGUAUUUUCUUUUAUUUUAAGUGAGCAUUCUUUGCAUAUUUUAAUUAAGCCAAUAAAAGUAAAAGGUAAAAAAAGAA